AAAGCAUAAAUUACAAACGGCACUUCAUUCCUUGAAACACAUCUUUCAAAAGACAUCUUCAUUAAGUAGGGAGGAC
rfam:Pteropus vampyrus cont1.194836, whole genome shotgun sequence.